rnacentral:rRNA from 1 species
AUUGAACGCUGGCGGCAGGCCUAACACAUGCAAGUCGAGCGGAUGAAGGGAGCUUGCUCCUGGAUUCAGCGGCGGACGGGUGAGUAAUGCCUAGGAAUCUGCCUGGUAGUGGGGGAUAACGCCCGGAAACGGGCGCUAAUACCGCAUACGUCCUGCGGGAGAAAGUGGGGGAUCUUCGGACCUCACGCUAUCAGAUGAGCCUAGGUCGGAUUAGCUAGUUGGUGGGGUAAAGGCCUACCAAGGCGACGAUCCGUAACUGGUCUGAGAGGAUGAUCAGUCACACUGGAACUGAGACGCGGUCCAGACUCCUACGGGAGGCAGCAGUGGGGAAUAUUGGACAAUGGGCGAAAGCCUGAUCCAGCCAUGCCGCGUGUGUGAAGAAGGUCUUCGGAUUGUAAAGCACUUUAAGUUGGGAGGAAGGGCAGUAAGUUAAUACCUUGCUGUUUUGACGUUACCAACAGAAUAAGCACCGGCUAACUUCGUG